AUGAGAAUUCCGCUUUGUUGGAUUCUCCGACGACGAUGUGUCCCGCAUGAACCUCUGGAUCCGGCAUGCCUUGGUGUGCCAAGUCCAGGUGCUCUGGCUCUUCUUCUUUGAGAACCUCGCAGUGCUUCAGCCGGAGGAUCCAUCCCUUGUCUCCCGGCACUUAACGACGCUGAUGCUUAUGCAGCUAGUGUUCAACAACGAAUUCCUCAACUUCUCGAGAUGCCCCUCACUGCAAGAUGUCCGGAUUGUUGGCUGCAGCUUCGUUCAUACCACCAAGAUCUCAUCCCAGUCUCUAAAGCGUCUAAGGAUCAUUUUUGGUGUUUUCAGUCUGAGUUUCCGCACUCAUAUUCAUGCACGAACCUUGUUUCGCUGCAGCUAGAUGUUUAUAAAGGCAGGGUGCCUGUGCUUGAGACGAUGCCACCAUUACUUGUCGCAGUUGUUACAAUCCAUGAUUCAUGUGCUGACCGUUGCAUCUGCGAUGAUUGUGGGGAUUAUUGUGUUGAAAGCUGCCAAGGUUUCUUACAAAAUGAUGGUUCAUGUGUGCUUCUACAAGGUUUAUCGCAAGCAGAGGAUUUGGGGUUGGUAUCUGGUGUUGAAACGUUUAUGUUCAGAAGGGAUUUGAAAUGGGGUUGGGCAGUUGAAGCAUCUUGUACUCAAUGAACACUGGUGUGUGCCUGACGUACAUGCACUAGCAUGUAUUCUUGAACAUUCACCAGCUUUAGAGGAGCUUUGUCUUAUUUUAUUUUCCGAGUUAUUGUUUAUUGCAGGGACCUAAACACAAUGUGGAAAUGAAAGGAUGCUUCAAUCGGAGAGAGCUACCAUCUUCUAUAUCAGCACACCUAAAGAGAGUUGAAGUCAAAUGUGCAAGUGAUAAUGAAAUAGUUCUUGAAGUCUUGAGGUUCCCGAGUAAACUUCAUAUUAGUUUGAGUUUCCAGGAAAAGCAAGUCUGAUUUGAAGACGAAUCUUCCAGACUUCCACCACAUAAUUCUGCUAGUAAACUAAGUUCCAUGAGCGGAAAAGAAGGCCGCCUCCACUUGUAGGACCAACGUAAGACUUGGUAAUUAGUUGCUGUGAGUAUGUAGCUGGAUAUUGUUUACUAUGCUGCCCUGUUUCAUGGAACCUUGCCAGAUUAGCUAAACUUUGUAUUUCAGACAUGGUAUGUGCAAUAUUCUGGUAGCACGUAAGCACAAAAUCGUAUUAUGUUGGACUUAUUGGGUACUCUGAA